GCCAUCGUAGUAUAGUGGUCAGUACUUCCGCUUGUGGCUUAACACCUUCCAUACCCUCCGGGGCCAUUGAGAAGUAAAGCGCGCGGACAACAUUGGUUCGAUUCCAGUCGAUGGCA